GGAGGAAUAUUGGUCAAUGGGCGAGAGCCUGAACCAGCCAAGUCGCGUGAGGGAAGACGGUCCUACGGAUUGUAAACCUCUUUUGUCGGGGAGUAAUAGGCGGGACGUGUCCUGCUGUGAGAGUACCCGAAGAAAAAGCAUCGGCUAACUCCGUGCCAGCAGCCGCGGUAAUACGGAGGAUGCGAGCGUUAUCCGGAUUUAUUGGGUUUAAAGGGUGCGCAGGCGGCGUGCCAAGUCAGCGGUCAAAGUUCCGGGCUCAACCCGGUGAUGCCGUUGAAACUGGUGUGCUUGAGUGCGUGCGAGGGAGGCGGAAUGUGAUGUGUAGCGGUGAAAUGCUUAGAUAUGUCACAGAACCCCGAUUGCGAAGGCAGCUUACCAGGAUACGACUGACGCUGAGGCACGAAAGCGUGGGUAU
rnacentral:rRNA from 1 species